GGGACUUUAUCUUAAUUUAAAGAGUCUGAGUUGCAUUCAGAAGAUGUGAAUUAAUUUUUCGCACGUUCUA
rnacentral:tRNA from 1 species